GUUCUCAUUACCACUCUCUACAGCUUCCAUGUCCAGUCUCAGAAUUACAGGUGUGCAACUCUCGGUGAUGCCUAGAAACAUGGCACCAGAUGCAAGGCAAAAUGGAUGACCGGAUGAAAGCACAUCAAUAAAAUGUAUGUAUUUUUAGUUUUCUAACCAAAUUCUUAUCUGUCUAGUUUAGGAUUUGCUAGACAUGCAAUUUUAAUCUACUCCCCACUUAGUCUCUAAAACAAAUGCUUAUACUGUUCAAGGUUCACUGCUACUUCAAAUAGUGCAGAUGACCCCAUCUUAUCUACCAAUAAACCUGUAUGAUGAUUAACAAACAGACUUGACAUUUCCAUGGAGGUCUGUAAUUAGCUCUAUCUGAUUCUGGGUUAAAAGUUGCUGCUCUGAUAAGUUGAAUUGUGUCAACCAUAACUUAAAAUCUAUUUCUAUUUUAGUGACCUGAACUGCAACCAUUACACCCUGACUAGUGCAGAAGUAACUGGAAAUUGCAUGGUACGUCUCACUAUAGAAGUGUGGUCUUGCUUCACGAUAUUGUGAACCAGUUUCUUGGUACAAAAUAAAAUUUUGA